UUCUGUGGUCAUGUCACCUGACAAACUCAAACAGGACAAUUUUCACAAGCAGGUGACUUACUUAGACAUCAGUGCCCGUCUUACUAUAAGGCUUUCAGUUAAUAAAAACUAGACAUUGGUGUCGGAGUUUUUUUCCGCUCAAGCCUCUCAUUUCAGUGAGUAAAUGAAAGGACGGCGACUCAGCAAGGUGUUACAGACGUGUGUAAACAGUAUUGAACUCCUGAAAUAUUAUUCAUCACGUGACCAACGUGAAUACGGGACUGACGCACGUUACAUGGAGUGACUUGAGUGCUGGCCAAACACACACCUCCACUGCCAGAGAUUCUCCCUGGCUCGCUGACAAGAGAUACGGAAACUUCCACUUAUGGAAGACGCCAAGUUCCGAGUCACACAGAGGAGUAUAUGCCGGAUGAAAGUCAAAGCAGCUUAUUGUCUCAUCACCCUGAACAGGAAGAGGAGCAGUUUCUGUUGGGCAAUGCUGUAACAAAAACGUUAUUAUCUUUGGUAUUGUGUAGUCAUUAUGUCAUUAUUCUAUAAUAAUUUGCACACUAUGCUCUGUCGACUUCUUUCCUUUGCAAGCUGAUGGCCUCAAGUUCUUUACUGUCCAUGUUUAUUCACUCACGGUGCUGGAAUCACAGAAGUUCCUCAUAUCAACUGGUACCAACAGUCAUGUAACACGAAAGUUGCUGCUGCUGCCACUUUUUCACAAAGACCUUUUUCAAAAUAAUCCUUGACAUGAGUCUUUUUCUAUGUUUGUGAUGUGCAUUUUCUAGACUAAAUUCUAAUUAAAUACAACGCUUAUUACUCGCAAAAUCUUCUACAUUUAAGUUGUGUCCAUUGUUUAAUUGUUUGGUCCUCCUGGAUUGUUUAUACAGCUCCCCAAAAAAUACUGAUCCAACAUUCUCGCCUGAAAUUCUAUUUUAUAUUUAACCAAAAUGUUUAGAGAAUAGUUGCUGUAAAAUUCCACCUUUCGUUUCAUAUUACAGAGCUUUGAGACAUUCUAAGUAAAUUCAAAUUUCUCUUCGUUGUUGAGAAACAUGUUGUUCAGGUAUAAAUUAGUCAUAUGUGGAAGUUGGUAUGUCGUCAUCGCAGUUCAGUUAG